AGAAUCAACGCUGGCGGCGUGCCUAACACAUGCAAGUCGCACGAGAAAGGGGAGCAAUCCCUGAGUAAAGUGGCGCACGGGUGAGUAACACGUGACUAACCUACCCUCGAGUGGGGAAUAACCUAGAGAAAUCUGGGCUAAUACCGCAUAACACUUACGAGUCAAAGCAGCAAUGCGCUUGGGGAGGGGGUCGCGGCAGAUUAGCUAGUUGGCGGGGUAAUGGCCCACCAAGGCGAUGAUCUGUA
rnacentral:rRNA from 1 species